GCCGGGUGGUGGUGGCGCACGCCUUUAAUCCCAGCACUCGGGAGGCAGAGGCAGGCGGAUCUCUGUGAGUUCGAGGCCAGCCUGGGCUACCAAGUGAGUUCCAGGAAAGGCGCCGCCAAAGCUACACAGAGAAACCCUGUCUCGAAAAAACAAAAAAAGAAAAAAAAAAAGAAGACAUUGGGGUUUUUUUGGUUUUUCGAGACAGGGUUUCUCUGUGUAGCUUUGUGCCUUUCCUGGAACUCACUUGGUAGCCCAGGCUAGCCUCGAACUCACAGAGAUCCGCCUGCCUCUG
rfam:Neotoma lepida isolate 417 scaffold_4730, whole genome shotgun sequence.